rnacentral:rRNA from 1 species
AUUGAACGCUGGCGGCAGGCCUAACACAUGCAAGUCGAACGCGUGGCGCACGGGUGUAUAAUGUCUGGGAAACUGCCUGGUGGAGGGGGAUCACUACUGGAAACGGUAGCUAAUACCGCAUACCAUCAGAUGUGCCCAUAUGGGAUUAGCUUGUGGGGGGGGUAACGGCUCACCAAGGCGACGAUCCCUAGCUGGGCUGAGAGGAUGACCAGCCACACUGGGACUGAGACACGGUCCAGACUCCUACGGGAGGCAGCAGUGGGGAAUAUUGCACAAUGGGCGCAAGCCUGAUGCAGCCAUGCCGCGUGUAUGAAGAAGGCCUUCGGGUUGUAAAGUACUUUCAGCGGGGAGGCGUUACCCGCAGAAGAAGCACCGGCUAACUCCGUGCCAGCAGCCGCGGUAAUAC